rnacentral:rRNA from 1 species
GACGGGGGAUGAAAGCGGUAUCCGGAAUCACUGGGCGUAAAGGGUCUAUUGGUGGGGAUGCAAGUCACUGGUGCAAACCUCUGGCUCAACCGGAGGAAAGCCAGUGCAACUGCAUGACUAGAGUGUGGGAGAGGUAGAAGGAAUUCCCUGAGUAGCGGUGAAAUGCGUAGAUACAGGGAAGAACACCGGAGGCGAAAGCGUUCUACUGGAACAAAACUGACACUGAGAGACGAAAGCUAGUCGAGCGAAGGGG